GUGAGGAUCAGUAAUUGCAGCCAGAAGAGUUGUAACUCGUACAAAUCUCGUACUACGAGAUUGGCGUGACUGUUAAACACUCACCUUUGCCAGCUCCCCUUCCUUCCCUCCCCUGUGUGCUGCUCUAAUAGCUUAUUGCCAGGAGAGGCAGCUGGGGCGCAUGUUCCAUCGCCCAGCAUAGGCCCUUUGAGAUGAGACAGGUCUGUUCCACUUCUCAAAAUGGCAAUUAGGGCCAGUCGGCACAGCCCCAUCUGGAGGCCUGGAAAUCUUGAUGUGCACCUGCCACCGUACUCAGGAGCUGCUGAAGUUUCUGCUCCUCUGGGUGGUGAGGAAGGGCAGCCUCUGUAAUGAGAGGAGGCAGGUCAUUAAACUGCUCACAACAGCACAUCUUUGCAUAGAAAGCGGUUCUGCAACUGAGCCCCAGAUUGCUUGGACUUGCUCUCUCUGGUCCUCUUCCUUCGGAAGGCAUUUCUAGCAGAGGUGCAAGAUACACCCCUAGGGAACCCAGAGCCCCAAGUUAAAGGAAUUGUCCAAUACAGGCUCUCUCCUGCCUGAAAGCUGUUGUCAUAUCUUGUACAGGCACCCUGCUGGGCCUUCAUCUGGUCAACCUCAGUGAUCCAACCCCAUCCCAAAUUUUUAUCACACAGACCCUCUUUUCUAGUCCAGCUGAUUUCCUUAGGAUGUCCUGGAGUUGACACACCUGUGGAGUUCCUGCCUUGCCAAGGCCUGGUAACUGCCUUCCACCACCAUGGAGUAGAUCCCUGCAGUAGAUGUCUCCUUUCCACACCCAGCUGGGGGGUCCCAGAGACUUGAGUUAGCUGCAGAGCUAGACUGGAAGGUCUUAAGGACUUGGGGCGCUGUGGGGUGAGCGGAGGAUGUCCAGACUGCACCAUGUGCAGAGACAACAGGCCGUAUGUCUACAAUCUUGCCAGCAUUUCAGGUCCUUGUUUCUGUCUGUCGUGACAACCACCAUGUUUCCCUAACUUGGAUAUCAGGAAAUAAUCUUAUAAUAGGUCCACUUUUGAUUGUUAUAAUUUAUAUGAAGCAAAUUGCUCAAAUCUUGAAUGGGUUGCUGUUUGUAGAUACUGAAUGAUGUGUGAUGAGCCAUUUCCCCACAUGACUAUUUCACUGUCUCCCAUUUGUUUAUGCUGCCCCCACUUCAGUGGUGUCCUUCUCACUGCUCUCUGCCCACCUGAUCCCUCUGCAUCGUCCAUGAAGCCCUCCGCUACUCCCCCAACCAAGAAAGGUCUCCCUGUGCUUUGAGCCUUCUGGGUCCGUCCUGGUUGCUAUAACAAAACGCCUUAGCCUAUGUGGCUUAAACAUCAGAAAUUUACUCCUCAUAGUUCUGGAGGCUGGGAAGUCCAAGAUCAAGGUGCUGGCCAGUUUGGUUCCUGGGGAGGACACUCUUCCUGGUUUUCAGAUGCUGCCUUCUUGCUGUCUUGUCCUUGCACGGCAGAGAGAGGUCAUCCCCCUCAUGUCUCUUAUUAUAAGGGCACUAAUCCCAUUCAUGAAGGCUCCACCCUCAUGACCUAAUUACUUUCCAACGACCCUGCCUGCAAAUGCUGUUCCACUGAGGAUUAGGUUUCAGUACACAAAUUUAGGUGGACACAAACACUCAGUCCAUAGCACAGCCUAAGGUCUUGACUCCGCAGUAAAGUAGUUCAGUUAACAAUCGUGAAGUGAGCCUACUCUCUGUGCCAGGCCUGUGCUGGGUGCUGGGGACACAAAGACAUAGAGGCACAUUCUUUCCUCCAGGAGCUCACAGCAGAGGAGACAGACCUGUAAAAAAACCAACCACUGGGGCCGGCCCCGUGGUGCAGUGGUUAAGUGCACAUGUUCCACUUCGGCGGCCUGGGGUUGACCGGUUCGGAUCCCAGGUGCGGACAUGGCACCGCUUGGCAAGCCAUGCUGUGGUAGGUGUCCUGCAUAUAAAGUAGAGGAAGAUGGGCAUGGAUGUUAGCUCAGGGCCAGUCUUCCUCAACCAAAAGAGGAGGAUUGGCAGUGGAUAUUAGCUCAGGGCUAAUCUUCCUCAAAAAAAAAAAAAAAAAAAAAAACUAACCAUAGCACUAUGUGACAAGUGCUAAAAUGAGAGCUUUUCCUUCUGUUGGGGGAGGUGUGGGGUCCUCAGGGAAAGAAGGAAAACAAGGUGACCUUGGAAUUGAAGGAUGAAUGAAAUUUUGCCAGAUGCACAAGGGGGCACAGGACCUUCCACACCUUAAUGUUUAGUUAAAGACAAAAAUUAUUCUGAUGCUUGUUAACACAGUAAAGAAGACUAUUUAAGACUGUUGCAAUAGGAGUAUUGCCAUAGGCGAGAGAGAGAUUGGGUUCAACUCCAAAGACCGCAAGGACAAGUGGGGAUUCAUAACCAAGGAGCAGGGUGAAGGAUCAGCGGAUGGAAAAUUGUUAAGAGGAGACGUGAAGCACAGGGAGACUCUUGCUAGAAUGACCUAGUGGGAUUCUUUCUGAAAGUAGGCCAAGGACUUAGACAUCAAAGGUGGGGGAUGAAGAACUGGAUCGUAUUUCAAGGGUAGGGGGUUGACAUAACAGGAUUCUUUGCUUAGACUGGUCUGGGCAGGCCAAAGACAGGAUGGGGCCGGGUCAAGGCCGAGUGGAAAAGAAGGCUUAGAGGAGCCUGCCUAAAGUUUGGUCAAGGAGGGAGUCUUUGUCGUAGUCCAGGUCCUGCAACAUUAUCUAAUCAUUCUGUGUAAGAAAGACUUCUCUCCUUAGCUAUCUCAGUCGGCGGCUGGGAUGAAGGAACUGUCUGCUUCCUCUUAUGGGGGUCACCUCUCUUCUCUUCACUCCCCUUCCUUCCAUUCCCAGGCCCCACUUCACCCUCCUCCUUGCCUCAACUACUUUAAUUUCCAGUUUUCUCUCAGAGAUCUAGGAAUUUCAGCAUCUGGAAAUCACACACACACAUAAAGACAUACACACACACACACACACUAUGGUAAUGAAACCAUCUGGGAAGUGUAUUGAGAUGUAAAGAAGGAAGGGAGGAAAAACUCCUACUUCCUGCAGAGUCAUAUCAUAAAGGAGCUGGGAACUGAAGUUAACAGGGAUGGAGGCAGUCUCCUGGAACAGACAAAGGCUGGUAAGUAAAGAAACGCACGUGCAGGAAUGGCCCAGCUUUAAGAUCAACGUGCGGAGGCAAUGUUGAGCUUCUCCAAGUUUGCAGAAAAGCAGCAGCAGGCCUAAUCUGUUUAUGGGAGGCACUGUCAACUCUGCUCCAUUCCUAUCUCAGCCAUCCCUAUGGCCCCUCAAGCAAGCACUUGUCAUAUCAAAUGGAGUUUAUUAGAAGCCACUGCUUAGUUACCCUCGUCACAAAUGAUGGCAUAAUUUACUUUCAGGACCCCAAGUAACUUGAGUGAUGGACCAAAAAUAUAUUGUAGGUGUUAAAAGGAAUUCAGAACAGCCUGCCCUUCUUUUCAAAUAUCUUUUCUUCCAUUUUUUUUUCUUGACAAGAGUUUUGAAAUAAUGAGUGCCGGUAGGUGAUACAUGAGUGCCCUUUGUUGCUUACAGCUAUGAUAAAGACAAGGGACUUGGCUAAAGAAUCCCAUCUUCAUUGUCGUCUACCCUUGGUGGAGAUGUGAAUUGGUACAGGCUUCAGGGAGGAGAUUUGACAGUAUCUGUCAAACCAUAAGAUUUCCUUUCCUUCCAUCCAGCAAUCCUGAUUCUAAACAUUCUGUUCUGGUUAUCUAUUGCUGCAUAACAAACCGCCCCAAAACCAUUGGCCUAAAACAAAAACUUAUUAUUAUCGCUCACACUUCCGUAGGUUGUCCAGGAGAAUCUCACUUACAGUCUCUUAUAUGGCUGCAGUCAGAUGCAGCUGGGCCAUCUGAAGGCUCACUGGGGCUAGACAUCCAAGACGGUGCUCUCCAUGGCUGGCAGUCGGUGUUGGCUGGCAGCCGGGAGCUCCACUGGGGCUGUUGACUGGACGACUUCACAUGGCCUCUUCGUGUGAAUUGGUUUUGCACAGCUUCGUGGCCAGGUUCCAAGAGGGAGUGUCUCAUGAGUAAGUGUUCUGAAAGGCAAAAAAUGGGAGAUUCCGGGCCUGUUAGGGGCAAUGCCCAGAACUGGCACAGCAUCACUUCUGCCGUAUUCUAUUGGUCACAGCAAUCAUUGGGUGCGCCCUCCCACCAAGGGCCUAUAUGCCCCCCACUCCCUUAUAUGUUCUCUGAAAUGUUUUCCAAAAUUCUCCUUUUGUUUUAUAAAACAUCAAAACUCUUUUACAUACCAAGUUUUUUUUAGUUAGGUCUCUUUGAUACCGAGCAACGGAAACUGGUUGCAAGGAAUAGAGAAAUUAUUGGAGGAGGAGAGGUUGAGAAAUCCGGCUUGGAACAGCAAGGAAGUGCUCAGUAGUAUCACCUGGGUUCUACUGCUGGAAUGAAUGAACUCUACAACUGACUCUGUCCUUGCUCCUCAACUCAGGAGUCAGUAUCCCAGAGGAGAGACCCUGGCUGGCCACGCUUAGGUCCCGAGCCUAACCCUCGUCUGUGGGGAGUGGAAGAGAGAUCUGGCAGAUCCUAUAGACUCCUCUUACAGCUUCCAUGGUGGAGGGCAGGUGACUAGAUUUCCAUUCCAGCCUGAUUUAACCCAGUCGGGGAGAGGCAAUUUUCCAAAAGGGACAAUGGAUGCUGAAUUAACAGACAAUAAUGGACAUCCUCUCCACUGGGUUUACUUUCUAAUGCUUCUUCUUGAUGUUAUACACUGCAUCCACAGACAGAUAUCAAUCUAGAGUGCAGUCCAUGGAGGCUGGACCUUGGAGCCAGACUUGGACAAUCAUUUAAUCUUUCCUGGACUCAGUUUCCUUAUCUGCAAAAUGGAGGCAAAUAGUGCCUAACUCUCAGGGUUCUUAUGAGGAUUAGAGAUAACCUAUAUAAAUCUUUGGCACAGUUUCUGGUGCACAGUAGACCCUUAAUAAAUGGUAGCCACUGCACCAUUCUUAAUGAUGGAGCAGCCAUGGCCCUGCUCCUCUCUCUCUCUCAC
ensembl:lncRNA